rnacentral:rRNA from 1 species
GAUGAACGCUGGCGGCGUGCCUAAUACAUGCAAGUCGAGCGAAAAGACGCUGAGCUUGCGCCUCUGACGUUAGCGGCGGACGGGUGAGUCACACGUGGAUAACCCACCUAUAAGACUGGGAUAACGGCGGGAAACCGGAGUUAAGACCGGAUGAUAUAUUUAACCUCAUGGUUGAAUAGUUAAAGACGGUUUUGAUGACCUUGCUAGCUAUAUGCGUGCCGCUUUAGCGAGUUGGUAAGGUAACGGCUUACGGAGGCAACGAUGCGUUGCCGAGCUGAGAGCGUGUACGGCCACACUGGAACUGAAACACGGUCCAGACUCCUACGGGAGGCAGAAGUAGGGAAUCUUGCGCAAUGGGCGGAAGCCUGACGGAGCGACGCAGCGUUAGUGCUGAAGGUCUUCGGAUCGUAUAACUCUGUUCUGAGGGAAGACCAAUUGUGUAAGUAACUAUGCACGUCUUGACGGUACCUAGUCAGAAAGCCACGGCUAACUACGUG